AUACAGAGGGUGCAAGCGUUAAUCGGAUUUACUGGGCGUAAAGCGCGCGUAGGUGGCUAAUUAAGUCAAAUGUGAAAUCCCCGAGCUUAACUUGGGAAUUGCAUUCGAUACUGGUUAGCUAGAGUAUGGGAGAGGAUGGUAGAAUUCCAGGUGUAGCGGUGAAAUGCGUAGAGAUCUGGAGGAAUACCGAUGGCGAAGGCAGCCAUCUGGCCUAAUACUGACACUGAGGUGCGAAAGCAUGGGGAGCAAACAGGAUUAGAUACCCUGGUAGUCCAUGCCGUAAACGAUGUCUACUAGCCGUUGGGGCCCUUGAGGCUUUAGUGGCGCAGCUAACGCGAUAAGUAGACCGCCUGGGGAGUACGGUCGAAAGACUAAAACUCAAAUGAAUUGACGGG
rnacentral:rRNA from 1 species